CAGCAGUGGGAAUAUUGCACAAUGGGCGCAAGCCUGAUGCAGCCAUGCCGCGUGUAUGAAGAAGGCCUUCGGGUUGUAAAGUACUUUCAGCAGUGAGGAAGGUGGAUAUGUUAAUAGCAUAUUCAUUUGACGUUAGCUGCAGAAGAAGCACCGGCUAACUCCGUGCCAGCAGCCGCGGUAAUACGGAGGGUGCGAGCGUUAAUCGGAAUUACUGGGCGUAAAGCGCAUGCAGGUGGUUUGUUAAGUCAGAUGUGAAAGCCCGGGGCUCAACCUCGGAAUUGCAUUUGAAACUGGCAAACUAGAGUACUGUAGAGGGGGUAGAAUUUCAGGUGUAGCGGUGAAAUGCGUAGAGAUCUGAAGGAAUACCGGUGGCGAAGGCGGCCCCCUGGACAGAUACUGACACUCAGAUGCGAAAGCGUGGGGAGCAAACAGGAUUAGAUACCCUGGUAG
rnacentral:rRNA from 1 species